GACAGAGGAUGCAAACGUUGCUCGGAAUUACUGGGCGUAAAGAGCGCGCAGGCGGUCGUGCAAGUCGCGUGUGAAAGCCCCCGGCUCAACUGGGGAGGGUCACGCGAUACUGCUCGACUCGAAGGCAGGAGAGGGUAGUGGAAUUCCUGGUGUAGCGGUGAAAUGCGCAGAUAUCAGGAGGAACACCGAUGGCGAAGGCAGGUCUCUGGGCCACUACUGACGCUGAGAAGCGAAAGCGUGGGGAGCGAACAGG
rnacentral:rRNA from 1 species